CUACGAAAACCGGAGAAGGUUAUCACGGGAGAAACACGGCGGGUGCGAAAAUCCGGCGGGUAUAGGUAGACAAACAAGAAAGGGAGGGCAGGUCCUCAAGUAAAGGGUAAGGGAGAACCGAUGUUGAAAUUGACAAACAGAACUGAGACUGGCUUAGAAGAAGGGAGAACAUUAAGAAAGCAUA
rnacentral:rRNA from 1 species